GACGAGGGGUCCUAGCGUUGUUCGGAAUCACUGGGCGUAAAGCGUAUGUAGGCGGGCUUUUAAGUCGGGUGUGAAAUCCCACGGCUCAACCGUGGAAUUGCAUUCGAAACUGGAGGUCUUGAGUGUGGGAGAGAUUGGUAGAAUACCUAGUGUAGUGGUGAAAUACGUAGAUAUUAGGUGGAAUACCGGUGGCGAAGGCGGCCAAUUGGCCCAACACUGACGCUGAGAUACGAAAGCGUGGGGAUCAAACAGG
rnacentral:rRNA from 1 species